UGCGGUCUGGAGGGCUGCGGGAAGUGAGGACCCUGUCUGUUCCGGAAGUGAGGGUCCUGUCGUCUGCUCCGUGGCUGUGGCUCGCGGCCUCCCGGACGCCUUCCGUCCUGACACCUCUCAGUGGGAGCGACGCCUCCUGUUUGUGUGCCUCUGUCGGGUUUCUGAGAUUUGGAGGAACUACCCCCAAGGCAAGUGCUGACUGGAAGUUUAUUCACAUUUUUCCGCCUUAAGAAAUCCAAGAUGCUGAAAACAAAGCAGAACCUGGCUGCCGCCCCUCCCCACAAGAGGAGUCCUGAGAGCAUCACCCUUUGAGAUGGCCCGAUCGCCUUGCUGGAAGGGUUUGGGUCCUGACAGCUCUGGUCCAGCAGCCCCGAGUGAAGGCCUCUGGCAAAUCUUCCUGCUCUUCAAAGUCCAAACAAGAAGAUCACUCCUCCACCACCUUUCACACAGACAGAUUUUAUACUACACUUCAGUGUACUGAACAAAAAACUACGAGUUGUAGGGGAAAACUGCAGAAAGGAUGUUUUGUGACAUCAAAACAUUUGAGAGAAAACUGCAAGUUUUUGGAAGAGAUUUUGAAAGUGGGCAGCUGAAAUAUUUUCCAAAUCUAAAAAUGCAUUGAGAAAAUUCUACAAUAUUUGCAAACAACCCUAGAAGCCAUCAGGAAAUCUACAAGGAAUGUUCUAGCAUUAUAGCAGGUGCAAAGGAGAAUUUUAAUAAAAGAUAUUUACAGGUCUGUGAGAUGGAGAAAACCCUGUGUUUUCUUGCUUCUCCAGAUUUGAAGAACUUGAUCUUUCCUGCUAACAUUGGUGAGAUUUUGGAAAUCUGGGAAUGGAGCUGUUUGAAUAUCAAGAAAGCUCUAUCUGGAAAAUAUAUGUUCUAUGUGCAACACUUGAGAAGAUGGAGUGUGACAGGAAGACAAAGGACUGCAGUUGGUAGUUCUGAAAAUGAAACCCUUAACAUGUGGAAUUCUGAGCUGAACAACUUUAAGUCAAUGAAAACACUUGGGAUUGCUUUUCUCACUUUGUUUGCAUCAUCUUGUGCUUGUGAGAAGCUGUUUUCAGCUUUGAAUUAUAUCAAAUCUGAUACAAGAAACAGACUGACAGACAACCUGAAUGCUCCUUGUGUUGCUCUCAAACUAAGAAGUUUGAGCAAGGUAUGACAAAUUAUUAGUGUGCACACAACAGCGACUAUCACACUAACUGCAAAAGCACGCUGAAUGCAAACUGUU